rnacentral:rRNA from 1 species
UCCAGGGGGGGGUGCCUAUACAUGCAGUCGAGCGGACAGAAGGGAGCUUGCUCCCGGAUGUUAGCGGCGGACGGGUGAGUAACACGUGGGUAACCUGCCUGUAAGACUGGGAUAACUCCGGGAAACCGGAGCUAAUACCGGAUAGUUCCUUGAACCGCAUGGUUCAAGGAUGAAAGACGGUUUCGGCUGUCACUUACAGAUGGACCCGCGGCGCAUUAGCUAGUUGGUGAGGUAACGGCUCACCAAGGCGACGAUGCGUAGCCGACCUGAGAGGGUGAUCGGCCACACUGGGACUGAGACACGGCCCAGACUCCUACGGGAGGCAGCAGUAGGGAAUCUUCCGCAAUGGACGAAAGUCUGACGGAGCAACGCCGCGUGAGUGAUGAAGGUUUUCGGAUCGUAAAGCUCUGUUGUUAGGGAAGAACAAGUGCAAGAGUAACUGCUUGCACCUUGACGGUACCUAACCAGAAAGCCACGGCUAACUACGUGCCAGCAGCCGCGGUAAUACGUAGGUGGCAAGCGUUGUCCGGAAUUAUUGGGCGUAAAGGGCUCGCAGGCGGUUUCUUAAGUCUGAUGUGAAAGCCCCCGGCUCAACCGGGGAGGGUCAUUGGAAACUGGGAAACUUGAGUGCAGAAGAGGAGAGUGGAAUUCCACGUGUAGCGGUGAAAUGCGUAGAGAUGUGGAGGAACACCAGUGGCGAAGGCGACUCUCUGGUCUGUAACUGACGCUGAGGAGCGAAAGCGUGGGGAGCGAACAGGAUUAGAUACCCUGGUAGUCCACGCCGUAAACGAUGAGUGCUAAGUGUUAGGGGUUUCCGCCCCUUAGUGCUGCAGCUAACGCAUUAAGCACUCCGCCUGGGGAGUACGGUCGCAAGACUGAAACUCAAGGAAUUGACGGGGGGCCCGCACAAGCGGUGGAGCAUGUGGUUUAAUUCGAAGCAACGCGGAGAACCUUACCAGGUCUUGACAUCCUCUGACAACCCUAGAGAUAGGGCUUUGCCCUUUCGGGGACAGAGUGACAGUGUGCAUGCUGUCGUCAGCUUCGUGUCGUGGAGAAUGUUGGGGUUUAGGUCCCCGCAACGAAGCGCAACCCCUGUGAUCU